UUAAAAAUUGGCAUCAAAAUUUUACAAAAGGCUUAGAUGUCAUAUAUUACUGUUGGUCAUAGGAUCUCUUUCUUGUAUUUCAAUGAUGUUUGUUGGUAAAAAAAAUUGAAGAAGUGUUAGGAUGCUUUGUUCGUGAUUAUUUCCUUGAAACUCAAGAUAAGGUCAAUACUCUUGAAGACAUUCCUCCUCCUGUAAUUGCAACAGGAUUUAGUUAUUGUCUCACCAGUAUAUACAUGAUCUCGUUUUUGUUGCUGUUGAGGAAAAUGAAGUGUUAUUUGGCCAUGUGCACCAUAUGGAGUUGCUUGCUCAAACAAGAAGGUCACGUUCUUAAAUGUUGUUACUUGGCUAUGUGGACCUUAUGAAGUUUCUGGUUCACACAUGACACACAAGAAGAUCACUGUUGCUUAAUGUGUAUGUUACUGAAAUCUUUUUUUAAAUACAUACACAUAUGACAUUUCAUUAAGAAAUUUUAAGAAUUAUCCAAUCACUACCCUUCUCUUCCUAAAGAACAUGUAGUAUGUGUUUCAUGCUGUGUUGUUUUGAAAUUCUUGCAUUUUUAUAAUAACAUUUUUGUAUGACGACAUGUAUAACAAAGUAUAACGAUUGAUGGUUCUAAUCUGAAAGAGAACGGUAUUGAAGUCAGUGUUUUCGGAAUACUCAUUACAGACAGGGGAAUUGUCUAUUUUUUGGUUUUGACUUCUUUUGCCACUCCAUGGAUGAAAAAAAUGACUUCUUCGAUAGUCUGGUUAUAGACCCGAGCUUUUCAGAAAGCGAUGUCAAAGACUCGGAUACUUUAGAAGAAUGCAGGAAUGGUGGCUUAUUGUGUGGCAACAAAAAGAAAACAUCCUUUUGGACAUGAACGGCAUAGACUGGACAACAUUUUGAAUGGAAACCCAGUUGGAUUGAAGGAAAUCAAGGAUGCCACGUUCAAAGACCUUUUAUCGUGAAUGCUACAAGUAUACAUGAUAUUUUCACUGUAGAUAACAAUGUUUAGGUACAAAUGUUCCAAGCUCAAUUGUACAAUCCGUAUUAUGGAAGCAGGAAGCGGGUAAUUAAUUCCAUUUAAUUCAGUAUAUAUCAAAACCAAUUUAUAGUUUAUAAGAUAUACAAAAUUAAAAAUAUGUGUAAGCAUAAUUACAGUUUAGAGAUGAAUUAUCUGACCAGUUAUAAUUCCAAACAAAAUUGAUAUAAUUGCGAAAUACAGUAAAUGUAACGGUAAUGUGCAACUAGAUAAACACAAUAAGUCAUUGAAAAAUGAUCAUCAACCAAAAAGUACCCGACAUAAAUCUUUUCUUUAUGUAACUGUAUGCUUAAUAAUGACAUGUUUACCUUAUAGCCACGCAUUUUUUCGUCCCUUGAAAUACAUUGUUCUAGAUUUGAGAUAACUAA